rnacentral:misc_RNA from 1 species
UUUGUUGGGUUUCCAAUUCAUCUGCAAGACAUUAAACCAUGAAGCAAUGUCAUAAAACAACUUGUGUAAAUCUGCCAAUAAAAUGCCCACAAAUCAUUGAGACUGUGAACUCCUGAACUUCCCAGAAAACUAAUCCUAUUUGACUAAUUCAAUAGGACAGAUUAAGAAUAGCAAUGACAUUUACCACAUCCCAGAAGAACCCAAAUACCAUUCAAAAGGUAGCACUAUUAAUAAUUACCAGUUGCAGAUCACAAUGAAAACAUGAAUCUAUCUAAAUAGUCAAUGUGGAUCCAUAAUCACAACAAUGUCAAACACAACUAAUACAACACAUUAGCAUAUGAUUGCACCAAUUAAAAACGAAACUUCAUGUGGAUGCACAUUCACACGAUGGCCACAAAGCCACAAUUGUAACACAGCAAACACAGAAAGAAAAAAAGAUUAUAAAACCCAGCAAGUCACAGGCUCGCUGAAUAUGGAUAAGUCCUACAAAUACAUAUCCUAAUACCAAUGGCUUAAAGUAAUCUACUCUAUCUUGGCUGUAUAACCAUUCAAUUUCAAUUCCUUUGUUUUAUAGAGAAUUGGGCACAAAACGUUGGGUUCCACUUACAUCAAACAGAAAAACAAAACACUACAUUUAAGGAAAGGAAUCAUUGUGAUUAUUAUAAUUCUAGUUUUGAAAAUCUAUGCAUGCUUUUGGCUACAAGUAUUAAUAUUUGAGCCCCUUUCUGACCCUUAAAUCCUAAUUCCCACAUUGGAAAUUUUCAAGUGAAAUCGUAAAAUUUCCAUACAUAUUCUAACAAUAAAUUGACUCUAGGGUUUUGAAAUUAGAAAUGCACCUCUUGUGCCUCUGGACGAAA